rnacentral:lncRNA from 1 species
GUUGAAGAUACGUAUAUAGCUGUACAGUUACCUAGUUUGUAUAGGAUUUUAGUUUAUUCGUAUCUUUUCCUAAUUAGCUAAUAUUCCUAAAUUAGCUCUCCUAAAUAAGGUAGGUCUCGUCUGACUCCUCUCUAUAAGAAGAGUCUUGUACAUCAGUAAAUUAAUACACACAAAUUCUCCCAUACCUGUCCGAUUAAUAUUCUGUGUUUUACAUUUUUCUACGGUGCUCUUCUGGUUUUCCCCUUAUGGAGAUAAUAUGAUUCAAUGCUUGAAAACAAUAUGAUUUUUGUGCUUUGUCUUGUUAUCAUGGAUAACAAGAAAUCCUUCACAAUAAUAAUAUAAGUAUCUUCUUGAAACUUGAACUAGUGUUGCUCAGACUGAAUUCCUCUCUGGUCAUGGAUCUUAAUUUCUGUAAAACACCAUUUCCUUCUUGAUUUAGAAUCUUGAACUCUUUGAACAGUAAAAAAUGCUUAACUGGGAGCUCUUUGAACAGUAAAAAAAAUGCUUAACUGGGAUUUGUGUAUUUUUUAAGAUCUAGACGUUUGCUUGAACUGGUGCAGUUGUGUCUAUGUAUAUGCUCUUAACAAGCAUAUGCUUUUACAGUUUGUCCGUCUUUCCUGAAGUGUUAAGGUUUGUACAGGUA